CUAGCUUUCACAACAUUUGCAGGCUGACAGCAUGAAUUUCUUGUGUUUUCAGCUAAGAAGAGAUGAAGGAAGGUUUAUUUGCAUCUCUGGACCAGAUUUUCCUCAGAUGGGACUCCAGCAAUGUGUACAAAGCCAUCUGCUCAGCCACACUGGCCAGGCCUCAAUACGAAAAACUUUUCCUGCUGAUCUUCAUCCUUCAGAAAAUCGAUGAUCUUGGUCAUCUUGGUCCCUUUCUGAAGGAGUGAAGCCAAUGGAUGGUGAAAUCCACAAAAAAACAGUACUUAAACCUCGGAAAAGGAAAAUUUCAGAUUCUGAAAACAGAGCAUUUUACAAAGGAAAAUGAUAUGCAAAGAAACUGAGGAGAACCCACCAGGAAAUCUUUGCAGUCCUGCAGACAAAGGAUGUACACCAAAACAGAAAUGAGCAUACUAGAGGAUGGCUGCUUGACAAUUGUUGCUGGAAGCCUGAGUAAACAGUCUGUAAUCUGCCUCCUCCCAUGAAUGUCUGCUAGAUGUUUCAAAACUAAGUUGUUCCUCAAUAAACCCCAGGUA